UACGUAGGGGGCAAGCGUUGUCCGGAUUUAUUGGGCGUAAAGAGCGUGUAGGCGGCUUGGUAGGUCCGCUGUGAAAACUCGAGGCUCAACCUCGAGAUGUCGGCGGAAACCACUUGGCUAGAGUCCGGAAGAGGAGAGUGGAAUUCCUGGUGUAGCGGUGAAAUGCGCAGAUAUCAGGAAGAACACCUAUGGCGAAGGCAGCUCUCUGGGACGGUACUGACGCUGAGGAGCGAAAGUGUGGGGAGCGAACAGG
rnacentral:rRNA from 1 species